rnacentral:rRNA from 1 species
AGAAUACCAAUUGCGAAGGCAGCUUUCUGGAUCAUUACUGACACUGAGGAACGAAAGCAUGGGUAGCGAAGAGGAUUAGAUACCCUCGUAGUCCAUGCCGUAAACGAUGUGUGUUAGACGUUGGAAAUUUAUUUUCUGUGUCGCAGCGAAAGCAAUAAACACACCGCCUGGGGAGUACGACCGCAAGGUUAAAACUCAAAUGAAUUGACGGGGACCCGCACAAGUAGUGGAGCAUGUGGUUUAAUUCGAAGAUACGCGCAGAACCUUACCAACACUUGACAUGUUCGUCGCGACUUUAAGAGAUUAAAGUUUUCGGUUCGGCCGGACGAAACACAGGUGCUGCAUGGCUGUCGUCAGCUCGUGUCGUGAGAUGUUGGGUUAAGUCCCGCAACGAGCGCAACCCUCACUUUUAGUUGCCAUCAUUUAGUUGGGCACUCUGAAAGAACUGCCAGUGAUAAGCUGGAGGAAGGUGGGGAUGACGUCAAGUCCUCAUGGCCCUUACGUGUUGGGCUACACACGUGCUACAAUGGCAUUUACAAUAGGAAGCAAGACGGCGACGUUAAGCAAAUCCUAAAAAAAUGCCUCAGUUCGGAUUGUACUCUGCAACUCGAGUACAUGAAGCUGGAAUUACUAGUAAUCGCGGAUCAGCGCGCCGCGGUGAAUACGUUCCCGGGUCUUGUACACACCGCCCGUCACACCAUGGGAGUUGGUUCUACCUUAAGGCAAAGUUUAAUACCUUUGACCACGGUAUAGUCAGCGACUGGGGUGAAGUCGUAACAAGGUAGCCGUAGGGGAACCUGCGGCUG